CACGUAGGGUGCGAGCGUUGUCCGGAAUUAUUGGGCGUAAAGAGCUCGUAGGCGGUGUGUCGCGUCGGCCGUGAAAACCUGUGGCUUAACCGGGGAACUGCAUCUGAUACUGGAUGGCUUGAGUUCGGGAGAGGAUGCGGAAUUCCAGGUGUAGCGGUGAAAUGCGUAGAUAUCUGGAGGAACACCGGUGGCGAAGGCGGCAUCCUGGACCGACACUGACGCUGAGGAGCGAAAGCCAGGGAGCAAACGGG
rnacentral:rRNA from 1 species